rnacentral:rRNA from 1 species
AACUAACAAGGAUUCCCCUAGUAACUGCGAGUGAAGCGGGAAAAGCUCAAAUUUAAAAUCUGGCAGUCUCUGGCUGUUCGAGUUGUAAUCUANAGAAGUGUUAUCCGCGCUGGACCGUGUACAAGUCUCCUGGAAUGGAGCGUCAUAGAGGGUGAGAAUCCCGUCUUUGACACGGACUACCAGGGCUUUGUGAUAUGCUCUCAAAGAGUCGAGUUGUUUGGGAAUGCAGCUCUAAAUGGGUGGUAAAUUCCAUCUAAAGCUAAAUAUUGGCGAGAGACCGAUAGCGAACAAGUACCGUGAGGGAAAGAUGAAAAGAACUUUGGAAAGAGAGUUAAACAGUACGUGAAAUUGUUGAAAGGG